rnacentral:piRNA from 1 species
UGGGUGAUGCACCACUUUUCAGCUCCAUGA